GAGUAAUGCAUAGAUAAUGUGCCCUUAGUUCGGGAUAGCCACUGGAAACGGUGAUUAAUACCGGAUACUCCUUCUUGUUAUAAGACAAGUCGGGAAAGUUUUUCGCUAAGGGAUCAGUCUAUGUUCCAUCAGCUUGUUGGUGAGGUAAUGGCUCACCAAGGCUAUGACGGAUAUCUGGUUUGAGAGGAUGAUCAGACACACUGGAACUGAGACACGGUCCAGACUCCUACGGGAGGCAGCAGUGAGGAAUAUUGCACAAUGGAGGAAACUCUGAUGCAGCAACGCCGCGUGGAGGAUGACGCAUUUCGGUGUGUAAACUCCUUUUAUUAGGGAAGAUAAUGACGGUACCUAAUGAAUAAGCACCGGCUAACUCCGUGCCAGCAGCCGCGGUAAUACGGAGGGUGCAAGCGUUACUCGGAAUCACUGGGCGUAAAGGGUGCGUAGGCUGGCUUUUAAGUCAGAUGUGAAAUCCAAUGGCUCAACCAUUGAACUGCAUUUGAAACUGAAAGCCUAGAGUUCAGAAGGGGCAGAUGGAAUUAGUGGUGUAGGGGUAAAAUCCGUAGAUAUCACUAGGAAUAUCAAAAGCGAAGGCGAUCUGCUGGGAUGAUA
rnacentral:rRNA from 1 species